rnacentral:rRNA from 1 species
GACGAACGCUGGCGGCGCGCUUAACACAUGCAAGUCGAGCGAGAACCAGCCCUUCGGGGCUGGGGAAAGCGGCGAACGGGUGAGUAACACGUGGGUAAUCUGCCCUCGGCACCGGAAUAGCCCGGGGAAACCCGGAUUAAUGCCGGAUAGCCUCUCCAGCCCUCGGGCUGGUGAGAAAAGGUAGCUUCGGCCUCUGGCCGAGGAGGAGCCCGCGGCGGAUUAGCUUGUUGGUGGGGUAAUGGCCCACCAAGGCGACGAUCCGUAGCUGGUCUGAGAGGACGAUCAGCCACACUGGGACUGAGACACGGCCCAGACUCCUACGGGAGGCAGCAGUGGGGAAUCUUGCGCAAUGGGCGAAAGCCUGACGCAGCGACGCCGCGUGCGGGAAGAAGGCCUUCGGGUUGUAAACCGCUUUCAGGAGGGACGAAGCCACUCGGGUUAAUAGCCCAGAGGGUGACGGUACCUCCAGAAGAAGCCCCGGCUAACUACGUGCCAGCCGCCGCAGUAAGAC